rnacentral:lncRNA from 1 species
UAUGGUGGCUAUCUUACGAUGAUCCGAGUUAACAUAUGGUGGCCUACGCAAGAUGGUCGAAGACUAGGUUGAUCACUAAGUGACCCUGAACACCUACUUACGUCAUUCAUAACCCCAGCGUGUUCUUGAUCAGAGAUGAAGCUCUAGAGGAGACAGUCACGGUUACGCACUCAGUUGGCAAGUUUUAUUUGAAAUACUUUAAGUUGUCUAGAACCGGAUGUUAACAAAAUAUCCAUGUUUGCGACAUAACCGUGGGCACGGCUUUCCAAAAGAUUAAACCCUGCAGGGGUGCUCCAACUAGUCCAUCACAAAUAACUACAUGCCGCAAAGUAAUCCUCUACCACGAAACUCGUGAUCUCGUCGGAUCGUUAAAGGAAAACCUCAACUCUGAGAGGAUCCAAAGUCGCUAAGGUAAGACAAAUCUGGAAAGACCUCCCAACGUGUCGACGAUCCUGAUAGGAGCUGCAAAUCACGUUCUCAGGACACGACGGAUGAGCACUAUGUACAGUGGCCGGAUAGACAUCCCUCGAGUUGCCCCGGGUGGCCCCGCAAGUGGCUCAAGUUUGGAAUAACGCUCAUUAGGGGCACUGGCCGGGGGGUUGAUUAGAUUCCUCGGGGUAGCUAUUCCCUAUGCAUUUAAUUAUUAAGUUGUUACCAUAUUAACAACAAAGUUGGGUCCUGUCAGACAAGUCUUAACACUAUACGAUUUACCGAGGGGGUUCCCAGAACAACCCCGAACGUGUUAGGAGCGCUCAGUCAUGGAAUAAAACAUCGGUAGCCGAAACUAAGGCGGCAACAACGGAACGAAUCAACCGGCAAAAGGCUAGGCCUUCCGUUAUUUACCAAGUAUAUAGGUGCAUUAAUUAAAUAGCAGUUAAUAUAAUGGUAUCAAAUUGCCCAUGUUAUCACAUGGACCAGGUGGCACCUGCAACAUGCAACGCUAUCAAUUAGUGGUUGAGCAAGCCUACUUAGCCAAACAAUAUUUGUUAGGAGGGGAGGUUUUUGAGGUUUCAUGGCAAUGUUUGAUGGCCUAUAUAUCAUGUGGUAGGCGGCGAAGAGGUAACAAAGGAAAUGUAACACUAAGCAUCACAAAGCUAGAAACGGUGUCAAGGUCAUGAUCAUCUUGCCUAUGAUUCUUCAGACUGGAACUGCUCGUGUUCUUCCUACACGAACUCUCCACACUCCUUGAACUCGUUUCCGGCCUCGGUAACUACCCAAAAGAAACAAUAUCUAAUAAACACUAGCAGCAAAUGAUGCAACAAACAACAAUAUGCAUGCAUGCACUACUCCCAACAAGCACAUAAAAUGACCCUACAUCGAUGAAACUAUUACAACCUCGCCACAAGGGGAUUUUUACAGAGAUUCCCAAAAUCAGAAACUAACAACACCAUUGGAUUCAUUGGGAUUUUCUACCCAAAAUCCAUAUAUCACACUCCAACCUUUGCAUGUAGAAAACCAUCACAAACAGGAUAAGAAAUCUGACAUAGAAUCAUACUAUGGCUAUAUUCAAGAACAGAAACUGUUCUUGAGACUGCCCAAUUUAGCAAGUCCAUAUCUGGACAUUUCCAGAAAUGGAAAUAUGCAAUUUUUAGCACCAGGAAUAUCCACAAACAACAAAAGUAUAGGGAAAUAUUAUGAGGAGGGGGUCCCACCUGGCAGUGGCCCCUCACAGGAUGACAUGUGGGUCCAGAGAUCCCACUAUCAUACACACACACACUACCACACAACUACACACACGACUACACACUACCCACAACAGAUCCACACACACAUUGAACACACAGUUACAUCUACAGAAAAACACACUACCACACAACU